AGAGCUUUUAAAAAUACAUUAAGAUGACAUAGGAUACAUUGAAAUGGAUAAAACUAAAGCCAAUCUAAAUAUACGAAUACAGAAUAUGUAUACGUAUCUAUAAAUUACCUGUUUAUUCCUGUUUACUUACGAUUGAUUUUUUAUCACAACAUAACAUUUUUGUACACCUUCAUCAUGAAUACUUCAAGUAUAUUUUACCAGAAAACAUCGACAUAGACGAAAAAGCAAACAGAAAUUCACAAAACAAUUACAAGAAUUACGAAAAAUAUCCAAAAGUAUAAUGAUGAUAAUGAUAAACAACAUAUGUUUGAAGAACGUAAUACCAAUCAAGUAAUGGAAUUUUUAACGGUAUAAACCAGAUGUGGCGCUAGUAUUGUUCCGACAAAAGUUUUUCAGCAAAUGACAUGUAUACAACACGAUCGGAGACAAACUUCUAAACAAGAGCAUCAAAAAUACAAAUAUCUUAUUUAGUUGCUUGAUAGCAUUCAGCAAAGCAGGCUGAUGUCGCUUUGUUAAAGAAAUUGCAAACACAACUUGAAAAAAUAAAAUCAACUUGCUAAAAAAAAGAGCAUAAUUUACAAAAACAACAUACACUAUAAAUAAUUUUCUAGAUCGCAUAACAAGAAAGUUGUCGUACAAAAAUUGUCUUCUCUGGAAGAAUAAAUACCGGUUUAUCUAUAAAUAUUGUUAAAUGAAAAAGUUAUACUUAUACCAACAUCUAUACGUCAUGUAUUAGGUUUAACGUCAUGUACAAUACUAUCCGUUGUGUCACUUGUAAUAUUAAGAUAAGUAAUAAGCAAUAAUGGGUGGAAAGUUGAAAAUAAAUUAAAUUAACACACAU